rnacentral:rRNA from 1 species
UUAGAGUUUGAUCAUGGCUCAGAGCGAACGCUGGCGGCAGGCUUAACACAUGCAAGUCGAGCGGGCGUAGCAAUACGUCAGCGGCAGACGGGUGAGUAACGCGUGGGAACGUACCUUUUGAUUCGGAACAACACAGGGAAACUUGUGCUAAUACCGGAUAAGCCCUUACGGGGAAAGAUUUAUCGCCGAAAGAUCGGCCCGCGUCUGAUUAGCUAGUUGGUGAGGUAACGGCUCACCAAGGCGACGAUCAGUAGCUGGUCUGAGAGGAUGAUCAGCCACAUUGGGACUGAGACACGGCCCAAACUCCUACGGGAGGCAGCAGUGGGGAAUAUUGGACAAUGGGCGCAAGCCUGAUCCAGCCAUGCCGCGUGAGUGAUGAAGGCCCUAGGGUUGUAAAGCUCUUUUGUGCGGGAAGAUAAUGACGGUACCGCAAGAAUAAGCCCCGGCUAACUUCGUGCCAGCAGCCGCGGUAAU